ACCCCCUGGCAUGUACUGCCGCUUUGUCACUGGCUCACUGCCGCCAUGGGCUUCUUUUGACAGCCCUUGUCCGCCUUGCAGACCUUUGCUCGGGGUCGGGGGCAAAGCGGUCACGCAUCGGCAAGCCUCGAAGCACCAGAAGCUGAGGGUACGCCCCGCCACCGCCUCUUACACGAAGGGGGACGCACACCCUUCGGCGGCAGCCAAGCGCUAGAAUCAGAGCUGGAUGCGCCACUGCGGCAUCCUUGGAGACGGUAGCCACCGCGUCCGAUCUGUGGCUGCUCGGCGAAGGUAGUCGCAGCAGCCUUUCCAGGCGCUAUGGCCACAGGCGGUAGGUCCACCCAUUGUGUAGAGCGAGGAGCAGAACACAGAACCACGUGGUGCUGCUAUUGUUUCUGCUGAUGUGCUGCUCCUCCUUUUUGGACAGAACCCAGAGAGAUUAUUGAGGCACUGAACCUCAGAAAAAUCACUAUGACAUGAUCAAGCAGCCAGCAGCACGAAGGAAUCAGUUCGGACUCUUGUUUUAUUCUUUAUAAUUAUCUUCCAAGAUGUUAACCCGUUGGGAAGUUAAACAUGCCAUUCGUACAUAGCAUUGAUUGUAAGAAGUUGCAUGCUAUCAUGAUUAAAGGGCAGUGACGCGAGGGUUCAAAGCUCGAAUGGGACGCCGGACCGAGAUGCUAUGUCCCAUCAACUUUACCGAUCAAUUUCAAUUUGCAAGGGAAGGAAAUGAAGGCACAUAGCUGGUAUGUUCCUCUUUCUUAGGCCACUGAAAGCAAUUUCUUUCGUAUAUGUUAUCUGAUUGGCCAAGCCAGUUUCAAAUUCUUCUGUCGUAAUUAGAGGAUGAGAAAAUUGUCUCUUCCGGUUUCAUCUUUAGUUUAUUUGGUGCACUGUAUUCUGUUUUCGUGCGCGUAUGAAUGAAUUGAAAUCAAAGAUGAAUGGCAGAAAUUAACUAUACGGAGCUGAUAUUGGUAUGUUCGUCUUUGUUUAGGUAAUAAAAUCGAAUUUACUUUA